UACGUAGGGUGCAAGCGUUGUCCGGAAUUAUUGGGCGUAAAGAGCUCGUAGGCGGUUGGGCAAGUCACGUGUGAAAUCUCCACGCUCAACGUGGAGGCGCCACGUGAGACUGCCCUGACUCGAGUCCGGUAGGGGAGCGUGGAAUUCCCGGUGUAGCGGUGAAAUGCGCAGAGAUCGGGAGGAACACCCGUAGCGAAGGCGGCGCUCUGGGCCGGUACUGACGCUGAGGAGCGAAAGCGUGGGGAGCAAACAGG
rnacentral:rRNA from 1 species